rnacentral:rRNA from 1 species
GUAACACGUGGGUAAUUUGCCGUGAAGUUGGGGAUAACUCGCUGAAAGGCGAGCUAAUACCGAAUGUGAUAAUUGGAGGGCAUCCUCUGAUUCUCAAAGUUGGGGACCGCAAGGCCUGACGCUUCACGAUAAGCCCGCGGCCUAUCAGCUAGUUGGUGAGGUAAUGGCUCACCAAGGCGACGAUCGGUAGCUGGUCUGAGAGGAUGAUCAGCACAUUGGGACUGAACACGGCCAAACUCCUACGGGAGGCAGCAGUGGGGAAUAUUGGUCAAUGGGCGGAAGCCUGAACCAGCCAUGCCGCGUGCAGGAAGACGGCCCUACGGGUUGUAAACUGCUUUUGUACCGGAAUAAACCUCAAUUCGUGAAUUGAGCUGAAUGUACGGUAAGAAUAAGGAUCGGCUAACUCCGUGCCAGCAGCCGCGGUAAUACGGAGGAUCCAAGCGUUAUCCGGAUUUAUUGGGUUUAAAAGGGUGCGUAGGCGGGCCUUGUAAGUCAGGGGUGAAAGACGGUAGCUCAAUAUCGCAAGUGCCUGUGAUACUGCAGGGUUGGAAUGUACUUGAAGG